rnacentral:misc_RNA from 1 species
GGGGGAGGGACCGUAAGGCACAUAAGCGCUUGUUUGGAUUGAUGUAUAUCAUUGGACUUGUCCUCCUCAUAACUUAGGCGGGCUUCAAACUUUUCACAGAUUAUUCAAAACUAAAUCUAAAUCAAGGUUUAUGAGCUAGUUUAAGUUCAGAUAUAAAAGCACCAUAAAAAUCGAACUUUUUAGUUGAACGUAAGGACAAAUAUUUGAGUGGGUGAACAGACACACACAUGUAUACGUUAAUACGUAUGUACAUGUAAUUAAUGGCUUUUUGGAAAAAGACUGGUCCACACACUUGAUUUUUCGCCGGAUUGUUCUGCAGUUGUGGAGAUAAGGAUGAGCUUCUGGAUCUCGAACCUGGAUAAGUGGAGAAAGAAAUGGGUACAAUUUUUUUUUUUUAAUAAUAUUUCAGCCUAUCAGAUAACCAAGUGCCACCCUCGAAAUCUGUGAUUUUAUGUCAAGGUUGUGAAAUCUCC